UUUCGCACGGGAGGACGUUAG
rnacentral:miRNA from 1 species